GGCUGUAAGUAUUACAGCAAGC
rnacentral:miRNA from 11 species